UGAGAUUUCCCAUUCCUUAUGGAAGUAAGACCCCUCAGAGAUGAUGAGGUAGAUAGGAUGGAAGUGGAAGUGCCGCGAGGCAUGGAGCGGACCAUUACUAAUCGGUCGAGGACUUAACCAAGUU
rnacentral:rRNA from 1 species